UACGGAGGGAGCUAGCGUUGUUCGGAUAUACUGGGCGUAAAGCGCACGUAGGCGGCGCAGCAAGUCAGGGGUGAAAUCCCGGAGCUCAACUCCGGAACUGCCUUUGAAACUGCAGUGCUAGAAUCCUGGAGAGGUGAGUGGAACUGCGAGUGUAGAGGUGAAAUUCGUAGAUAUUCGCAAGAACACCAGUGGCGAAGGCGGCUCACUGGGCCCGGUACUGACGCUGAGGUGCGAAAGCGUGGGGAGCAAACAGG
rnacentral:rRNA from 1 species